AGCAUCUGUUUUUAAGGUAAACUUCAUCUAUUUCAUGGUUUUCCAUGAAUCAACUAGAAUUUGUCAUACAAAGCACCAAAAUUAUCAUGAUUAACCAUUCCAAUGGCUAAUCGUUACCAACAUUUCCAUAACUCUCAAUGAACAACAUACAAAACGAUUAUAAUGCUAUGCUCAAAGUGUAUAUAAGCCAUUUUCGCAUGGCUAUCCAAAUUUAUACAAAACCAAAGGGUACGUGACCAACAACAAAAAGGGGUAGUCCUAUACAUGCCAUUUUCAGAGUUCAACCAAAAAUGUACCAAAAGGGCUUUGAUAGUGUGGACGACUUCGACUUCGACGAUCCUGAGUCUGAUAGCUGACGAACCAAAAUCUAUAAAACAGAGAUUCAAAGAACGGAGUAAGCAUUUAAUGCUUAGUAAGUUCUGAGCAAUGAAAUCAUGCACAACUGAAGUAUAGCAUUCAUACAACUAAACGAAUAAUUUCAUAUACCCAUAUUCUCACAAUCAUACCUACUUCACAUUUCCAACCUUUAUAUUCAUACGUAAGGAAUCAACUUGUCUAAAAGAUGGAAGCUUGUUAGUCGAUUGAGCAAAUACUAUUUAGAAGGAAUCAAUUAUCUCAAUGCACAUACGAAACAUACCUCAUCGUUGGGAUUUUACGAGCGUAUUAAUUGAAAUUAUUACAGCAAGAUCGCUCAUUCCCAAACCCAAGUAUCUUCGGGAUUUAGCCGGAUAUAACCACUCGCACAAGGCCUUCGUGUCUUAGCCCGGAUAUGGUCACUAGCAUAAAUGCCUUCGGGACUUAGCCCGGAUAUAAUCGCUAGCACAAAUGCCUUUGGGUCUUAGCCCGGAUAUAGCAACUCGCACAAAUGCCUUCGGAUCUUAGUCCGGAUAUAGUCACUAGCAUAAAAGCCUUCGGGACUUAGCCCGGAUAUCAUCGAAUAACCAUGCACAUAUAUCAAUAAUCAUGACACAUCCAUAUUUCAUUUUCAUUACCAAAGCUCAAACACAAGACACUUAUCACACUUACUAAUUUCGGCUCAAUAGCCACAUACAAAGAGCACGAUUUUGAUUUGCUUUAUGACAUGAUCUCUAUGCACAUACGGCUACCCAUCAUACGUAUAGACUAAUUAAUUCAACAUAUAAUUCAAGUAGAAUCGUUAUAUCACCGUAUUUUUGUUAUGACUAUACGUCAUGACUUAAUCGAAUCGUAAACUAAGUUUCAUUACUCGAAAACUUACCUCGGAUGUUGUCGAACGAUUUCGGUGGCUAUUCAAUCACUUUUUCCUUUCCCUUGUCCAACUUUGGUCCUCUAAGCUCUUGAGCUAAUUCAAGCAAAUUUAACUUAUUAAGGUCUCAUUAUGCUAGCUUAUGGCCGAAUAUGACAAGGAGUUGAUAGGUCAUAUGGCCACCUUUAGCUCAAAUACAAAAUGGUCAUACGCAUUUUUAAUCACAUUGAGCAAUUUAAUACAAUUAAUCUAACAUUUCCUCAUGUGCACCUUCAUGACCGAAUACACACAUCAUUAACCUAUUAUCAAUUAACUAAGCACUUUAACAAAUUCUCCUUGAGCCGAUUAUCUAAGUCAAGAUAAAAGCAUCAAUAUGCUUACCCCUAACCGAAUACAUGCAACACCUGCAUGUCUAUGUUGAGGCCAAUUAUAUGCUUAAUACUUCCUACAAAUAUGGUUACUUGUAUUAACUACAUACCAUCUUGUUUCAAGUUCAAAACUCGGCUAAUACACAUAUGUACACUAGUAAUCAAAUACUAAUAUUUGCACUUCACCUUACUACCAUUUCUCAUGCAAAUAACAUGAACAACAACCAUAUUUCCUACUAUGGCCGAAUGCAUCAAGACACCAUACCAUUUCAAUUUUGGUCAUGGGUUAAACAAAGAACCUAAUGUCUAUCUCAAAAAAAACUGCUAAAAAGAAAAUCCAAGAGGCAUCAAUCCACCAUCACAUGUAUCAUUAUAAAGCUUCACAUUUAGCAUGCAAAUGACAUCAACACAAAUCCACCUUAGCUGAAACUUAACUCAUCUUCAUGCAUCAACACCAACAUCAAACACCACCCAAGAAGACAACACCCAUGGCCGAAUAUCAUCUCCAUCACAUAGCAAAGAUUUAAACCAUGGGCUAGGUAGAACUCAAGCUAACAACUAAAACAUGCAUGCAUCUCAUGGAACAUCAUCAAACAUACCUUAAUCUAGAUACAAGUAUGGUCGAACCUCCUCAACCUUUUCUUCCCCUCUUUCCUUUGAUUUUUCGGUCAAGAAGAAACAAAUGAGAACCUUUUCUUUUUUUUUUCAUCAUCCUACUAACCAUUAUUAUUUUAUCAUUUCUAACAUAAACCAUUAACACAACAUGUUUCUGACAUGUUUUACCCAUCACCCUUUGUCAUGGCCGGCCACUAGUAAUUAAAUGGGGGAAAUUGACAUGCAAGUCCACCCCUUUGAUUACAUGCACUAAUAGAUCCUUAUAGAUUAACCUAUCACAUUUCAAAAGUGUCACACAUAAGUCCUAUUAAUUAAAUUCACAUGCAAUUAACUAAAUCAAAGCUUAAAACUUUCACACAUUCAUAUUCACAUAUUUUAGACAAUAAUUAUCAUAUUCAAAUAAUUUGGUGACUCGGUUUAGCGGUCCCGAAACUGCUUUUCGACUAGGGUCACUUUAGGGCUGUCACAACUCUCCCCCACCGGUAAAUAGGUUUGGGUAUCGUUCUUUCAUAAAGUUAUCGGGUUCCCAAGUAGCUUCUUCCAUCCCGUGUUUGAGCCAUGACACUUUUACUAAAGGAACCUUUUUGUUUCGCAACUCUUUUACUUCAUGAGCUAGGAUACGAAUUGGUUCUUCUUCAUAACUCAUAUCGGCUUGAAUUUCAACCUCGGAGGGACUUAUUAUGUGCGAAGGAUCAGAUCUGUAACAUCGAAGCAUCGAAACUUGAAAAACGUUGUGGAUCCUUUCAAGUUCAGGGGGUAAAAUCAAUCUAUACGCAACUGGACCGACUCGUUUGGAUAUUUCAUAUGGCCCGAUGAACCUCGGACUCAAGUUGCCCUUACGCCCAAAUCUGAGUAUCUUUUUCCAAGGUGAAACUUUAAGAAACACUUUAUCUCCCACCUGAUACUCAAUGUCCUUUCGUUUCAAAUCCGCGUACGACUUUUGACGAUCUGUGGCUGCCUUCAGACUUUCACGGAUUACUUUUACUUUCUGCUCAGCAUCUUUAAUCAAAUCAAAUCUGAAAAUUUUUCCUUCACCGAGCGCGGUCCAAAAAAAUGGUGUACGGCAUUUAUGACCGUACAAAGCCUCGUAAGGUGCCAUCUUAAUACUUGAUUGAAAACUAUUGUUGUAAGCGAAUUCAAUCAAAGGUAAAUACCGUUCCCAUGAACCACUAAACUCAAGGAUGCAACAUUUUAACAUAUCCUCGAGUAUCUGAAUUAUCCGCUCGGAUUGACCAUCGGUUUGGGGAUGAAAAGCGGUGCUAAAAUGCAACUUGGUACCCAAAGCUUCUUGCAAUUUCUUCCAAAAUUGCGAGGUGAAUCUUGGAUCUCUAUCUGACACAAUAGAAAUAGGUACCCCGUGUAAUCUCACAAUCUGAGAAACAUACAAUUCAGCUAGUUUAUCCAAUGAAAAAUCCGUGCGUACGGGGAUAAAGUGAGCCGACUUAGUCAGUCUAUCAACAACUACCCAAAUCGCAUCUUUCUUACUUGCCGACACUGGCAACCCAGUUACAAAGUUUAUCGUGACUCGAUCCCAUUUCCAUUCAGGUAUCAUGAUCGGCUGAAGUAAUCCCGUAGGCACUUGAUGUCCCGCCUUCAGUUGCUGACAUACUAAGCACUUCGAAACAAAAUCGAAAAUGUCUCGUUUCAUACAAUGCCACCAAAACUGACGUUUCAGAUCGUUGUACAUUUUCGUACUCCCCGGGUGAAUUGACAUUCGGCUACAAUGAGCUUCGUUCAGAAUCAUCGAAAUAAGUUCUAAAUUUCUUGGAACACACAAACAACUUCUAAACCUCAAACAAUCGUCAUCAUCAAUUUGAAAAUCUGAUUCCAUAUUCGAAACACAUUCAGCCCGGUUUGCAACCAAUUCAUCAUCGACUUUCUGAGCUUCACGAAUUUGAUGAAUCAACAAUGGUUUUGCCUUUAAUUCAGCUACUAACAGAUUGUCGAGUAGAACAGACAAGUGUACAUUCAUCGCUCGUAAAGCAAACAGUGAUUUUCGGCUUAAGGCGUCUGCAACCACAUUAGCCUUUCCCGGGUGAUAAUCAAUGACAAGCUCAUAAUCUUUCAACAACUCAAGCCAACGCCUUUGUCGUAGAUUCAAGUCUCUUUGAGUCAUCAAAUAUUUGAGACUUUUGUGAUCUGAAUAUACAUGGCACUUCUCACCAAAUAAAUAAUAUCGCCAUAUUUUCAAAGCGAAUACGAUGGCAGCUAGUUCGAGAUCAUGGGUCGGAUAAUUUUUCUCAUGUGGCUUUAAUUGUCUUGACGCAUAGGCCACAACUCGACCUUCUUGCAUCAAUACGCAACCCAACCCAAGUAGGGAUGCAUCACUAUAAAUGACAAACUCCUUGCCUGAUUCGGGUUGCACUAGAAUUGGAGCUUCAGUCAAAUAAGUUUUCAGUUGAUCAAAACUUUUCUGACAUUUUUCCGUCCAUUCAAACUUAACAUCUUUCUGAAGUAGCUUCAUCAUUGGUGUGGCUAUCAUCGAGAAACCUUUUACAAACCGUCUGUAGUAACCGGCAAGUCCCAAAAAGCUUCGAACCUCAGUGAUAUUUCUCGGAGCUUCCAGUUAAGUAUGGCUGAAAUUUUACUCGGAUCAACUCGAAUACCCGAUGCAGACACCACAUGACCCAAGAAGCUAACCUCUCUUAACCAGAACUCACACUUACUGAACUUAGCAUAGAAUUGCUUAUUCCGUAAAGUUUGCAACACUAAUCCCAGGUGUUCAGCAUGAUCGGUUUCAUUUCUCGAAUAGACCAAAAUAUCGUCGAUAAACACAACUACAAAUCAAUCCAAAUACGGUCUGAAGAUCUGAUUCAUCAGAUCCAUAAAUACCGCGGGGGCAUUAGUGAGCCCAAACGGCAUCACUAAGAAUUCGUAGUGACCGUAUCUCGUUCUGAAAGCAGUUUUGGGUAUGUCCGAAUCUCGAAUUCGUAACUGAUAAUAACCCGAUCUCAAAUCUAUCUUUGAAAACACUGAGGCUCGCUUUAGUUGAUCAAACAAAUCAUCAAUGCGCGGUAUCAGAUAUUUAUUCUUUAUUGUCACCUUAUUCAGCUGACGAUAGUCGAUGCACAACCUCAUGGUUCCGUCAUUCUUUUUCACAAACAAUACUGGUGCACCCCAAGGUGAGAAACUUGGUCGAGCGAAACCUCUAUCCGUCAACUCUUGCAACUGAGCUUUCAACUCUUUUAACUCGGUUGGUGCCAUACAAUACGGAGCUAUCGAGAUCGGCGUAGUCCCAGGUACAAGCUCAAUACCAAACUCUACCUCCCGAACAGGUGGUAAACCCAGUAAUUCUUCGGGAAAAACAUCCGGGUAUUCACAAACCACCGGCACAGAUUCAAGUUUCCUUUCUGGCUCUUUAUUAUCAAGUACGUAUGCAAGAUACGCUUCACACCCCUUUCUCACAUAUUUUUGGGCUAACAUCGAGGAUAUUAUUGUUGGCAAUCCAUAGAAGGAAGUAGACUCAACUCGGAUUAUCUCAUUAUUUGCGCACCUCAAAUCAAUAGUCUUGCUUUUGCAAUUCACAACCGUAUCAUGCACGGUCAACCAAUCCAAACCGAGAAUAACAUCAAACUCAUCAAACGGAAAAAGCAUCAAGUCCGCCGGAAAACAGGAACCUCGAAUUACUAGGGGACAUUUCUUACACACUUUGUCGACAAGCACGUAACGACCCAAGGGAUUUGACACCCGAAGUACGAACUCAGUAGACUCAAUAGGUAAAGUCUUACUGGAUGCUAAGGUUUCACAUAUAUAAGAAUGAGUAGAACCAGGGUCAAUCAAAGCAAUCACAUUAGUAUCAAAGAGAGUAAAAGUACCGGUAAUAACAUCUAGCGAGGAAGCAUCCUCGCGUGCGCUUAUAGCGUAAGCUCUAGCUGGAGCACGAGCCUCAGAUCUGGUUGUAGCAUCUCUAGAUCCUCUCUGACCACCACUAGCAUUGCCCGUAUUUCUAGAUGGUCUACCCUGAGCAGUAGUAGCACCAGGUUUCCCACUCUGAUUUACGUUCUGUUCAGACAAUCUCGGGCAAUCUUUAAUAAAGUGGUCAGCUGAUCCGCACUUGUAACAUGAGCGGUCAUGAAAUCUACAACUCCCCAAAUGCCAUUUACCACAAUAUUGACACUCCGUUCUGUCUCGACGAUCAUUUCCAACACUGGCGACCGAAAUGACUCGUGCACUCACAGGGGGUCGGCCGCGAUCUCGUCUAGAAAAACCCGAAGUGUCCCUAGACCGGCCUAAGUCAUCUCUAAAUUUCUUCGAUGACUGUUGGAAGGGCUUCCCCGAAGACCUCUUACGAAAAUCCUUUGUUCCCACCUCAGCUUUUCUUUUCUCCAUACUGAGCUCCUCGGCUUUGCAAGCUCGCUCGACAAGUACCACAAAUUCUCGGAUUUCCAAAAUGCCAACAUACAGCUUUAUGUCAUCAUUCAGCCCAUCCUUGAAACGUUUACACAUCACGGCUUCUGAAGAGAUACAUUCUCGAGCGUACCGGCUAAGCCUUACAAACUUUCAUUCAUAGUCGGUAACCGACAUGGAACCUUGUUUAAGUUCAAGAAAUUCCUUCCGUUUUUGAUCCAUGAAUCUCUGACUGAUAUGCUUUUUCCAAAACUCAGUUUGGAAAAACUCCCAAGUUACUUGCUCUCUGGGCACAAAAGAAGUCAACGUAUUCCACCAAUAGUAGGCAGAAUCACGCAGCAAGGAGAUCGUACACUUUAGGCACUCAUCGAGUGUGCAAGAUAGCUCAUCGAGUACCCAAAUAGUGUUGUCCAACCAAAAUUCAGCUUGCUCGGCAUCAUCGUUGUCCGUAGCUUUAAAUUCAGUAGCCCCGUGUUUUCAGAUUCUGUCAACUGGGGGCUUAUUUGACCUUAUUUGGUCAGUUGCCGGAGGUAUUGUAGGUGCGGGGGUGGUAUUAGUCGGGAAUGGAGGUUGUGGAACAGCUGUAUUAGUUCGAAUGUAUUGGUUGAACCAAUCAUUCAUCACGCUAUAAAAAGCUUGUCUAGCCUCAUCAUUCGGAUUACUAGCAAUAGGUUGAGAGUCCGCCGGCGCUGUCCCUUGUGCAGGAGUAGGCGCUACACUCUCAAGAUCAUCAGCUACCGCUCGGUCGGGAUCGGGAUCCAUUACUAUAAAUAAACACAUUUUCAAUUGUCAGAAAUCACCACACUAUCAAAUAAUCACAUAAUGGCAUGUAUAGCUAGACCCAAACAUAUUACGGUAGUCCUAGAAUCGACUAAACCGUAGCUCUGAUACCAAUAAAAUUGUAACACCCCGUACCCGAGACCGUUGCCAGAGUCGAACACGAGCUGCUAACAUACUUAUUUCAUUGUAAAACACAGUUCAUUUAAAAAUUUCCAGACAAGCUGGCUAACUGCGUCACUGUUACCUUAAAAAUCAUAUCUUGAGUUCCAGAACUCGGAAACCAGUUUCGUAAAUUUUACCUGAAACUAGACUCAUAUAUCCAUCUAAAAAUUUUUUUCUAGAAUUUUUGGUCAAGCAAAUUAGUACAGUUUAUUAGUUAAAGUCUCCCCUAUUUCAGGGUUCGACUGCUCUGACCUUCAUGCAUUACGACUUAUAUAUCUUCCUGUACAGGGAUUUAUUACUUAUGCCGUUUGUUUCUAACGAAACUAGACUCAAAAAGAAAUCUAUACAUAUAUGGUAUGAUCUCGAAUUAUCUCUGGUUAAUUUAUAGUGAAUUUCCAAAGUCAGAUCAGGGGAUCCAGAAAUCGCUGUGGCCCUGUUACACGAAAACUUAAAUAUCUCUUAAAGUACAACUCAUAUGAUCAUUUCGUUUCUUCCAUAUGAAAGUAGAUUCAUCAGGGUUCGUUUACAUAAUUUAUUCACUAUUUAAUUCCAUUUCUACUAUUUUUAGAGAUUUUUCAAAUCUGCACCACUGCUGCUGUCAGCAUCUGUUUUUAAGGUAAACUUCAUCUAUUUCAUGGUUUUCCAUGAAUCAACUAGAAUUUGUCAUACAAAGCACCAAAAUGAUCAUGAUUAACCAUUCCAAUGGCUAAUCGUUACCAACAUUUCCAUACCUCUCAAUGAACAACAUACAAAAUGAUUAUAAUGCUAUGCUCAAAGUGUAUAUAAGCCAUUUUCGCAUGGCUAUCCAAAUUUAUACAAAACGAAAGGGUACGUGACCAACAACAAAAAGGGGUAGUCCUAUACAUGCCAUUUUCAGAGUUCCACCAAAAAUGUACCAAAAGGGAUUUGAUAGUGUGGACGACUUCGAAUUCAAC
rnacentral:lncRNA from 1 species